rnacentral:rRNA from 1 species
UGGGGAAUUUUGGACAAUGGGCGAAAGCCUGAUCCAGCAAUGCCGCGUGUGUGAAGAAGGCCUUCGGGUUGUAAAGCACUUUUGUCCGGAAAGAAAUGGCUCUGGUUAAUACCUGGGGUCGAUGACGGUACCGGAAGAAUAAGGACCGGCUAACUACGUGCCAGCAGCCGCGGUAAUACGUAGGGUCCAAGCGUUAAUCGGAAUUACUGGGCGUAAAGCGUGCGCAGGCGGUUGUGCAAGACCGAUGUGAAAUCCCCGAGCUUAACUUGGGAAUUGCAUUGGUGACUGCACGGCUAGAGUGUGUCAGAGGGGGGUAGAAUUCCACGUGUAGCAGUGAAAUGCGUAGAGAUGUGGAGGAAUACCGAUGGCGAAGGCAGCCCCUGGGAUAACACUGACGCUCAUGCACGAAAGCGUGGGGAGCAAACAGGAUUAGAUACCCUGGUGGUCCACGCCCUAAACGAUGUCAACUAGUUGUUGGGAUUCAUUUCCUUAGUAACGUAGCUAACGCGUGAAGUUGACCG